UGGGAGGACAUGGACAGUUCCCCCAAAAUGUUAGGAAACAAGUUUCAGUUUUCCAUGCUAAAAUCUGUAAUGUCUUUCAAAAAAAGUAUCAAAGCAUCUAGAAGAAACCGAGGGUGCAGAGUUGCUUACAACUCAUCUGUUUUAUUCCUGUGGCUAUUUUAUCAGCAGAACUUCGGAACCUCACAGAUUCUUCUGAAAAGCCACAGUAGCAGAAAUGGUAUUUGGCAGAGACCCGGUGAAGAGCAGUUUCCUAAUGCUCAGUAGCAACCCUUACGAGAAAUUUGAGGAGAUGACACUUUAUCUUUUCCUCCUUAAUUUUUUUUUCCUUUCAGAUCGGGUACCGGUUAUGUUUUGCCCUUCCCAUUUCUGUGAUAAUUCCAGUUUCAUUUAUUUAGAUCAAUGACACUUUCCAAAAGCUGGUGUACAACAUCUUUAUAUACACUACAAAUUCAGAUUACCAGACUACUGUCAGACAUUGAAUAUAUAAAUAACUUUGCAAACUAUUUACAGGUUUUAAGCUAAUCAGGUUCCAAGAAACCAACACUCUUAAGGCAAAUUUAUGUGUACGAGUGGCUGUCUGGCCUUUCAGGUUUCCCCCAUUCCCCCAGAGAUGACAGGCAAUAAACACAAAAUGUGAUUACGUCCUGCUCUCACACCAACAGGAUUUUUUUGUAUGGAGAGAUGAUCUACCUACUUAUGAUCUUUCAUGAAAACAGGGAAAAAAUGUUUAAAAAUACUUUUGUGUUCCUGUGUCAGGAAACUCAUUAAGGUGCAUACCAAAAAGUGGAACUCCCAAUGUCUUACACCAACAUAAUUUCUGUAUGCACUGGACAAAAAUGGUUUGGGGAAUUUGGGAAAAGCAUCGGUUUAAAGCUGUACAACCCUUUUCAGAACUACACAUUUAUAAGCUCAUCAGAUAUGAGAUCUAGAGAGCUCAAAGGGAUUUUCUGUAAGAGGUGACACCGCAAAAUAAAAUGCAGCAAAAGGUGGAUUUUCAAAGCAUAUGCUUAACUAGACUAGAAUUUCUCUCUCACACCACAUUGCUGUGCAAGACGCUAUUCACCAUUUAAAGGGAUUCUGCACAAUUCGCUAAUUCUUAGUGGAAUAAAAAUUGGCACUUAAAAUAGUAUCUUUUGUUACAACAGUGUAUACUUAAGUGCAAUCCCUUUUGUCAAUGCAUGACUGAAGCAACCAAGCAUAUUCUGGUGAAACAGGCAGGAUACGCAUCCCAAACGUGCUUAGUGCCUCCUGUAAGUCCCGAUCAUCACUUUGUUCUUACUAUUUUUAAUGCCCUGAUUAGGUCUUUGUUUAGAAGUAAUUAGCUAUUGUGGUUUGGAGGAUUUUGGAACAAAGCAGAGACUUUAUACUGAAUGCAGAGGUCAUCUCCAACAGAGACAAAAGGUGGCAAAUUAUCGGUUAGCUUUGUAUUUAGAAGCAUCCCUUGGUUCACUGCUAGGAUUGCUCCAGUCAUCUGCUUCAGGUGUGGUCUUGUAGUGCCGCCACGCUGACUUAUUAAAAACAGGAAGUCUUUCAAAUGAUUCACUUGAAAGGGCCUUCAAAUAAAUUACAGCAUCUGAUCCAACACCUUCCAUUGAGUAGAGUUUCAGGUCACCUUGGAAGUACCUAGCGUACAGACGAGAAAUUGGCAAGCCAUAGCCAAACCCAGCCAAAGGAACAGCUCUUGUGGGCUCCAAACUAGGCCUGGGUGCUGUUGAGUACAUGUAGUUAAACAAUCUGUCUAUUUUUCUUAAAGGUACACCUCCACCUUGAUCACUUAUCUUAAUAGACAGAUCUUCUUUCCCCAGAGUGACUAAGGUCUUGAUCGAUGGAUAUCCUUCUCUCUUACCUUCGUGCAACUCCACUGUAGCUCUCAUUGAAUUCUUGAAUAAUUCAAAUAGCAUAUGAAACAAGUGAGAAGGUACAUAGACUACUUGAAUAGGCUUGUUUGGAGCUUUAGCAUUGAAUUCUUCAACUUCCAGAUCAGGUGCCACCAAAUAGUACUGUUCACAUAACAUCUUAGCUGUUUCAUAAGCAUCUUUAACCACCUCUGCCACAUUACAAUUAGGAUCAAUACUUCCAAUAUGUUUGGGAUGGGCAGGAUUAAUGUCUCCUCCAAAAAGAAGCGUGUGUUGGUUAAUGAGCAUACGGAAAGAGAUGCGGUUGGUGUAGAAUCUAUCUAGAAAAUACUGGAUGUUACUGCUAACAAAUGGGUCAAAGCCAUACUUUUCCUUGUAUUCAAUCACCCCUUGCGCCAUGGUUGGAACCACAUCAUUGUGUCUGUUCCUGACUUUAAUUAAAACGUCUAAAAAGUCAUCCAGAACAUGAGGAUCUUCAGGACUUUUAUUUUCAUAUUCUAAAAGCUCGAGGAAACUCUGCAUGUACCAACUCUGCACCAGCCCAACUGAAGGCCUGUUAAGUAAGUUAUCAGGCAACAAAUUGACUUCUCUCAUGGUGUUAGCUAGCCGCACGGGAAGUUCUUUCCGCAGAAACAUGUAGGAAGUCUUCUCACAUGCAUUGUCACGACCGAAGUCGAGGAACUGCUUGAUGGAGAGCGGCGAGGGGGAGAAGCGCGAGUAGUACUCGAUCUGCUUGGGGAUGGGGCUCUUCAGCAGCGCCCCGCACAGCCGCAUGGCGCAACGCUAACGCGCUGAGGCGGCGGCGCAGCCACCCGCGCUCAUGCCAGGGAGCGGCCGGCCCGACGGAGCCCGUAGCGCUCUGCGGCCCUGCCCUGCCCGGCCAGGCUCAGCCCGGCG
rnacentral:lncRNA from 1 species